ensembl:lncRNA
CCCUAGUCUAAGGAAGCUGUCCUUAAGAGGGAUUGUUGGGGACAGGAAGCAAAUCCUAUAAGCAAAUUUUUGACAACAAGAAGAGAAACCAUUCUCCCUUGGGCUUUGCCUCUUCCACCACUCACCUAGCAAAUCAGGCCAAAGUAUAUGUUAUUCUUAUCCUAAGAAUCUGUGCAGUACUGGCCAGCAUAACACAGCUUGAUAGGACCUACCUUGAGAGCACAGUGCUGAUUGCAGACUUCCACAGGAGUUGCUCUAACCCGACUCUUAGGCAGUUUUGAUCCUUAAUAUCAGUGGCCUUUUUUAGUCCUUGAAAAUACAGAUUCUUUUCUGACCCAUGGUGGCACAAGACCAACCUGGUGGGACCGCUCCCAUGACUGGAGUGCUGCAAUGGAUGGCUACAAACUCUUCAGGAAGGAUAGGCAAGGAAGGAGGGGCGGUGGUGUGGCUCUCUAUGUUAAAGAGUGCUUUGAGGUUACUGAACUUAUGACUGGGGAUAAUAAGGUUGAAUCCUUAUGGGUAAAGAUCAGGGGAAGAGCUGACAAGGCAGACAUCCUGGUGGGUGUCUGUUAUAGACCGCCAAACCAGGAUGAAGAGACAGAUGAGGUGUUCUAUGAGCAGUUGGCAGAAGCUGCACGAUCGCCAGCCCUUGUCCUCAUGGGGGACUUCAACUUCCCUGACAUAUGCUGGGAAUACAAUUUAGCACAGAAGAAGCAGUCUAGGAGGUUUCUGGAAUGUAUGGAGGACAACUUCUUGAUGCAGCUGGUAAGAGAACCUACGAGAGGAGCUGCCCCAUUAGACCUGCUGUUCACAAACAGAGAAGGUCUGGUGGGAGAUGUGGAGGUCGGUGGCUGUCUUGGACAGAGUGACCACAACAUGGUAGAGUUCUCAAUUCUUGGUGGAGUCAGGAGGGGGAACAGCAAAACUGCUACCUUGGACUUCCGGAGGGCAGACUUUGAAUUGUUCAGGAGACUAGUAGGGGGAGUCCCCUGGGGUCCAGUCUUAGCGGUAAAGGGGUACAAGAUGGCUGGUUGCUCUUCAAGAAGGAAGUCUUAAAGGUGCAGGAGCAGGCUGUCCCCCUGAGCCGUAAAAUGAGCCAGCGCGGAAGAAGACUGGCGUGGAUGAAUAGGGAACUAUUCUUGAGGUUCCAGGAGAAAAAGAGAAUCUACCUCCUAUGGAAGAAGGGACGGGCAACCCAGAAAGAAUACAAAGAAGUUGUUAAGAUGUGCAGGGAGAAAAUCAGAAAGGCAAAAGCCCAGCUUGAACUCAACCUGGCUGCUGGGGUUAAAGGGAACAAGAAACUCUUUUACAAGUAUAUCAACAGUAACAGGAGGACCAGGGAGAAUCUCCAUUCUUUAUUGGAUGAGGCUGGGAAUGUGACCACUGAGGAUAAGGACAAGACAGACGUUCUGAAUGCCUUCUUUACAUCUGUCUUUAAAAGUCAGACCAGUUAUCCUCAGGUUUCUCCACUCUCUGACCUGGCAGUCUUGGCUGGGGAGCUGACUAAACCCCCCACAAUUCAGGAGGAAACAGAGACCUGCUACUCCAACUGGACUGCCACAAGUCCAUGGGACCGGAUGAGAUUCACCCAAGAGUGCUGAGGGAACUGGUGGAGGUGAUAGCUGAGCCAUUGUCCAUCAUCUAUCAGUGCUCCUUGUUGACGGGUGAGGUCCUAGAAGACUGGAGGCUUGCCAACGUGACUUCCAUCUGCAAGAAGGGCUGCAGGGAGGAUCCGGGGAGCUACAGGCCUGUUAGCCUGACCUCGGUGCCGGGGAAGAUUAUGGAGCAGAUUGUCUUGAGGGAGAUCACGCAGCAUGUGUGGGACAACUGGGGGAUCAGGCCUAGCCAGCAUGGGUUCACGAAGGGCAGGUCCUGCUUGACCAACCUGAUCUCCUUCUAGUGACCCGUCUGGUGGAUGAGGGAAAGGCUGUUGAUGUAGUCUACCUAGACUUCAGCAAAGCCUUUGACACUGUCUCCCACAGUAUUCUCGUGUAGAAGCUGGCAGUCUGUGACUUGGACAGGUACACUCUUGGCUGGGUAAGGAGCUGGCUGGAGGGCCGGGCCCAGAGAGUGGUGAUGAAUGGAGUUAAAUCCAGCUGGCGACCGGUCACGAGUGGUGUUCCCCAGGGGUUGGUGCUGGAGCCUGUCCUGUUUAAUAUCUUUAUCGAUGACCUGGAUGACGGCACUGUGUGCACCCUCAGUAAGUUUGCAGAUGACACCAAGCUGGCUGGAAGUGUUGAUCUGCCUGAGGAUUGCGAGGCCCUACAGAGGGAUCUGGAUAGGCUGGAUAGCUGGGCUGAAGCCAAUGGGAUGGGAUUCAACAAGACCAAAUGCCGGGUCCUGCACUUUGGCCACAAUAACCCCAGGCAACGCUAUAGGCUUGGGGCAGAGUGGCUGGAAGACUGUGUAGAGGAAAUGGACCUGGGGGUGUUGAUUGAUACUAGACUGAACAUGAGCCAGCAGUGUGCCCAGGUGGCUAAGAAGGCCAAUGGCAUCCUGGCUUGUAUCAGAAAUAGUGUGGUCAGCAGGAACAGGGAAGUAAUUGUCCCCCUGUACUCAGCACUGGUGAGGCUGCACCUCAAGUACUGUGUUCAGUUUUGGGCCCAUCGCUGUAAGAAAGACAUCGAGGCACUGGAGUGUGUCUAGAGGAGGGCAACAAAGCUGGUGAGGGGUCUGGAGCACAGGCCUUAUAAGGAGCGGCUGAAGGAGCUGGGAUUGUUCAGUCUAGAGAAGAGGAGGCUCAGGGAAGACCUUAUUGCUCUCUAUAACUACCUGAAGGGAGGUUGUAGUGAGCUGGGGGUCAGCCUCUUCUCUCGUGUGACUAGUGAUAGGACUAGAGGAAAUGGCUUCAAGCUGCGCCAGGAAAGGUUCAGGCUGGACGUUAGGAAAUACUACUUCUCUGAAAGGGUGGUCAGGCGCUGGAAUGGGCUGCCCAGAGAGGUGGUGGAGUCACCGACCCUGAGGGUGUUCAAAGACGUUGGGUGUUUGGACGUUGUGUUGAGGGACAUGGUUUAGCGAGAACCAUUGGUGAAGGGCGAACGAAUGGUUGGACUGGAUGAUUAAGUGGGUCUUUUCCAACCUUAGCGAUUCUAUGAUUCUAUGAUUCUAUGUUUGUAAAAUUAGCUAUUCCAUCUCAGACGUAAGUGUCAAAAUGCAAAUUAUACCACAUUGCAUAUAAGUACCAGGCAGGUUUCUCCAUCAGUGCCCUUAUUUGGUUAUAUAUGAACACAAUUCCACAACAAGAAAUCAUGAUGUUAAUUAUAGGCCAAUAAUUUCCCAAGAUUAUAAUUGUUUUUAAUCCCUUAUACAGCACUCCUACAAUAAAGAGCAGAUUCAUAGCUAGUAGCUGCUAAAAGGGAGGGAAAAAAAAAAACAACACUCAGUACAGUGUCUGUUUGGCAGACUGCCCAGACUGUAACCUAAUCUAUGAAGGUCACACUAGCAAUGCCUUGCAGUCUCGCAGUCUCCGGCUUAAAGAAAUCCUUUCUUUUCUCUGCUAACGUUAAAAGCUUCAGAUUGCACACAUUCUUCACCAAAAACUGUCACGGAGUUAUCUAGAUCAAUCUAGAUAAAUCUAUGCCCAUGACAGGGGGGCAAUAGGCCCAUGGGCCCCCUGGCUCCCAAAAAUGGGAAGGGAAAAGGGAAAGGGGUGGGAGAACAGGAGCUUGAAACCUUUCCCAUAUGGUGAGUGGUAAGGAUUAGUAUUUGGUGAGUGGUCAUAGCAGAGCUCUCAGAUGUGAGCUUCCAUUGUACAAUGUGCAACCAUCCACAAUAGUGAUGUGUGAGUGCAAUGGUGCUGUUGUUGGAAGGGCAGAUUGAUGAGGAAAUGUCUCACAUAAGAAAAAACACAGUUCUCAUGAAGCAAGCUUUUGUCCUUAACUCACAAAAAGGGCCUUUUUAUGAUUCAUAUAGUGAUUUUUCUUUUUCUUUGCAUUUUUCUUUGCAUUUAAUUGUUAGUAGCACAAGAAUAAUAGUGUAAGUAAAAUUGUCAUGGUUUUAUGAUUUUUGGUUACUGGUAUUCCACAUCAUAACAUCAUGUAGUGCUGUGUGUUAAUGCUCCAAUUCCAGGUACCUGUCUGGAAGAGAAGAACUACAUUCCCCAGGGGGCUUUGCAGUCAGAGAGGAGAUAUAACCUCUGGCAAAGUCACCUGAUGUCUCUUCUUCCUUCGGCUCUCCUCACUGUUGCUCGUCCUGACCUCACACAUUGCCUCAGCACUACUGGAGUUUGGGCUGCUUCCAAAGUCAUUGGCACUGAAAUGCAGAUCCUUCCGGCACCUCGACUGCCAGUGCUGAACUGGAUGUUUAAAGGAAAGGUUCCCUCCACCCAUCAUGCUACUGAUGCUACCUGGGGCAAGUGGAUUGUGUUGAUUAUGCAAGGAGCUCGGAUGGGGAACCUCAUCCAUCCAGGAAUCCUAGAGGUGAUCAUGGACUGGCCUGAAGGUAAAAAGUUUGGAGUGUCACCAGCAGAAGAGGUAUCACAAGCUAAAGAGGCCCCACUGUACAAUGAACUACCAGAAAAUGAAAAGAAAUAUGCCCUGCUCACAGACGGAUCGUGUCGUACUGCGGGGAAGCAUCGCAAAUGGAAAGCUGAUGUGUGGAGCCCCACAUGACAAGUUGAAGAGGCCACUGAAGGAAAAGGAGAAUCAAGCCAAUUUGCGGAGGUAAAAGCUGUCCAGCUGGCCUUAGAUGUUGCUAAAUGGGAGAGGUGGCCAAUGCUUUGUCUUUAUACUGACUCAUGGAUGGUGGCAAAUGCCUUAUGGGGGUGGUUACAGCAGUAGGAACAAAACAACUGACUAAGAAGGGGUAAACCUAUUUGGGCUCCUGAGCUGUUGGAAAGAAAUUGCUGCCCAAAUAAAAAAUAUGGUUGUAAAAGUGUGUCACGUAGAUGCUCAUGUACCCAAGAGGCGGGCUAUUGAAGAGCAACAGAACAACCAUCAGGUAGAUCGAGCUGCCAAAAUUAAGGUGGCUCAGACAGACUUGGACUGGCAACAAAAGGGUGAAUUAUUUCUAGCUCAGUGGGCCCAUGAGACCUCGGGCCAUCAAGGAAGAGAUGCAACAUAUAAGUGGGCUAGAGACUGAGGGGUGGACUUAACUAUGUACGCUAUAGCACAAGUUAUUCAUGACUGUGAAAUGUGCCAUUAUUAAACAAGGCGAGAGGACGAAAACUCUCUGGGAGGAACAGCAAUGGCCUACUGCCCCUCUGUCACGGGCAUAGAUUUAUCUACAUUGAUCUAGAUAACUCCGUGACAGGGGUGUGAGGCAUUAAGAAUCCCCUGCUGAUAUACAGUGUUGGACUACAGAAAGACAAAA